UUAAGCGACUAAGCGUACACGGUGGAUGCCCUGGCAGUCAGAGGCGAUGAAGGACGUGCUAAUCUGCGAUAAGCGUCGGUAAGGUGAUAUGAACCGUUAUAACCGGCGAUUUCCGAAUGGGGAAACCCAGUGUGAUUCGUCACACUAUCAUUAACUGAAUCCAUAGGUUAAUGAGGCGAACCGGGGGAACUGAAACAUCUAAGUACCCCGAGGAAAAGAAAUCAACCGAGAUUCCCCCAGUAGCGGCGAGCGAACGGGGAGCAGCCCAGAGCCUGAAUCAGUGUGUGUGUUAGUGGAAGCGUCUGGAAAGGCGUGCGAUACAGGGUGACAGCCCCGUACACAAAAAUGCACAUGCUGUGAGCUCGAUGAGUAGGGCGGGACACGUGGUAUCCUGUCUGAAUAUGGGGGGACCAUCCUCCAAGGCUAAAUACUCCUGACUGACCGAUAGUGAACCAGUACCGUGAGGGAAAGGCGAAAAGAACCCCGGCGAGGGGAGUGAAAAAGAACCUGAAACCGUGUACGUACAAGCAGUGGGAGCACGCUUAGGCGUGUGACUGCGUACCUUUUGUAUAAUGGGUCAGCGACUUAUAUUCUGUAGCAAGGUUAACCGAAUAGGGGAGCCGAAGGGAAACCGAGUCUUAACUGGGCGUUAAGUUGCAGGGUAUAGACCCGAAACCCGGUGAUCUAGCCAUGGGCAGGUUGAAGGUUGGGUAACACUAACUGGAGGACCGAACCGACUAAUGUUGAAAAAUUAGCGGAUGACUUGUGGCUGGGGGUGAAAGGCCAAUCAAACCGGGAGAUAGCUGGUUCUCCCCGAAAGCUAUUUAGGUAGCGCCUCGUGAAUUCAUCUCCGGGGGUAGAGCACUGUUUCGGCAAGGGGGUCAUCCCGACUUACCAACCCGAUGCAAACUGCGAAUACCGGAGAAUGUUAUCACGGGAGACACACGGCGGGUGCUAACGUCCGUCGUGAAGAGGGAAACAACCCAGACCGCCAGCUAAGGUCCCAAAGUCAUGGUUAAGUGGGAAACGAUGUGGGAAGGCCCAGACAGCCAGGAUGUUGGCUUAGAAGCAGCCAUCAUUUAAAGAAAGCGUAAUAGCUCACUGGUCGAGUCGGCCUGCGCGGAAGAUGUAACGGGGCUAAACCAUGCACCGAAGCUGCGGCAGCGACGCUGAUGCGUUGUUGGGUAGGGGAGCGUUCUGUAAGCCUGCGAAGGUGUGCUGUGAGGCAUGCUGGAGGUAUCAGAAGUGCGAAUGCUGACAUAAGUAACGAUAAAGCGGGUGAAAAGCCCGCUCGCCGGAAGACCAAGGGUUCCUGUCCAACGUUAAUCGGGGCAGGGUGAGUCGACCCCUAAGGCGAGGCCGAAAGGCGUAGUCGAUGGGAAACAGGUUAAUAUUCCUGUACUUGGUGUUACUGCGAAGGGGGGACGGAGAAGGUUAUGUUGGCCGGGCGACGGUUGUCCCGGUUUAAGCGUGUAGGCUGGUUUUCCAGGCAAAUCCGGAAAAUCAAGGCUGAGGCGUGAUGACGAGGCACUACGGUGCUGAAGCAACAAAUGCCCUGCUUCCAGGAAAAGCCUCUAAGCAUCAGGUAACAUCAAAUCGUACCCCAAACCGACACAGGUGGUCAGGUAGAGAAUACCAAGGCGCUUGAGAGAACUCGGGUGAAGGAACUAGGCAAAAUGGUGCCGUAACUUCGGGAGAAGGCACGCUGAUAUGUAGGUGAAGCGACUUGCUCGUGGAGCUGAAAUCAGUCGAAGAUACCAGCUGGCUGCAACUGUUUAUUAAAAACACAGCACUGUGCAAACACGAAAGUGGACGUAUACGGUGUGACGCCUGCCCGGUGCCGGAAGGUUAAUUGAUGGGGUCAGCGCAAGCGAAGCUCUUGAUCGAAGCCCCGGUAAACGGCGGCCGUAACUAUAACGGUCCUAAGGUAGCGAAAUUCCUUGUCGGGUAAGUUCCGACCUGCACGAAUGGCGUAAUGAUGGCCAGGCUGUCUCCACCCGAGACUCAGUGAAAUUGAACUCGCUGUGAAGAUGCAGUGUACCCGCGGCAAGACGGAAAGACCCCGUGAACCUUUACUAUAGCUUGACACUGAACAUUGAGCCUUGAUGUGUAGGAUAGGUGGGAGGCUUUGAAGUGUGGACGCCAGUCUGCAUGGAGCCGACCUUGAAAUACCACCCUUUAAUGUUUGAUGUUCUAACGUGGACCCGUGAUCCGGGUUGCGGACAGUGUCUGGUGGGUAGUUUGACUGGGGCGGUCUCCUCCUAAAGAGUAACGGAGGAGCACGAAGGUUGGCUAAUCCUGGUCGGACAUCAGGAGGUUAGUGCAAUGGCAUAAGCCAGCUUGACUGCGAGCGUGACGGCGCGAGCAGGUGCGAAAGCAGGUCAUAGUGAUCCGGUGGUUCUGAAUGGAAGGGCCAUCGCUCAACGGAUAAAAGGUACUCCGGGGAUAACAGGCUGAUACCGCCCAAGAGUUCAUAUCGACGGCGGUGUUUGGCACCUCGAUGUCGGCUCAUCACAUCCUGGGGCUGAAGUAGGUCCCAAGGGUAUGGCUGUUCGCCAUUUAAAGUGGUACGCGAGCUGGGUUUAGAACGUCGUGAGACAGUUCGGUCCCUAUCUGCCGUGGGCGCUGGAGAACUGAGGGGGGCUGCUCCUAGUACGAGAGGACCGGAGUGGACGCAUCACUGGUGUUCGGGUUGUCAUGCCAAUGGCACUGCCCGGUAGCUAAAUGCGGAAGAGAUAAGUGCUGAAAGCAUCUAAGCACGAAACUUGCCCCGAGAUGAGUUCUCCCUGACUCCUUGAGAGUCCUGAAGGAACGUUGAAGACGACGACGUUGAUAGGCCGGGUGUGUAAGCGCAGCGAUGCGUUGAGCUAACCGGUACUAAUGAACCGUGAGGCUUAACCUU
rnacentral:rRNA from 1 species